AGAGUUUGAUCAUGGCUCAGAUUGAACGCUGGCGGCAGGCUUAACACAUGCAAGUCGAGCGGAGAUGAGGUGCUUGCACCUUAUCUUAGCGGCGGACGGGUGAGUAAUGCUUAGGAAUCUGCCUAUUAGUGGGGGACAACAUUCCGAAAGGAAUGCUAAUACCGCAUACGUCCUACGGGAGAAAGCAGGGGAUCUUCGGACCUUGCGCUAAUAGAUGAGCCUAAGUCGGAUUAGCUAGUUGGUGGGGUAAAGGCCUACCAAGGCGACGAUCUGUAGCGGGUCUGAGAGGAUGAUCCGCCACACUGGGACUGAGACACGGCCCAGACUCCUACGGGAGGCAGCAGUGGGGAAUAUUGGACAAUGGGGGGAACCCUGAUCCAGCCAUGGCCGCGUGUGUGAAGAAGGCCUUAUGGUUGUAAAGCACUUUAAGCGAGGAGGAGGCUACUGAGACUAAUACUCUUGGAUAGUGGACGUUACUCGCAGAAUAAGCACCGGCUAACUCUGUGCCAGCAGCCGCGGUAAUACAGAGGGUGCGAGCGUUAAUCGGAUUUACUGGGCGUAAAGCGUGCGUAGGCGGCUUUUUAAGUCGGAUGUGAAAUCCCCGAGCUUAACUUGGGAAUUGCAUUCGAUACUGGGAAGCUAGAGUAUGGGAGAGGAUGGUAGAAUUCCAGGUGUAGCGGUGAAAUGCGUAGAGAUCUGGAGGAAUACCGAUGGCGAAGGCAGCCAUCUGGCCUAAUACUGACGCUGAGGUACGAAAGCAUGGGGA
rnacentral:rRNA from 1 species